rnacentral:rRNA from 1 species
UACGGGGGGGCGAAGCGUUGUUCGGAAUUACUGGGCGGUAAAGGGCUCGUAGGCGGCCAACUAAGUCAGACGGUGAAAAUCCCUCGGCUUAACCGGGGAACUGCGUCUGAUACUGGAUGGCUAGAGGUUGGGAGAGGGAUGCGGAAUUCCAGGUGUAGCGGUGAAAUGACGUAGAUAUCGGAGGAACACCGGUGGCGAAAGGCGGCAUCCUGGACCAAUUCGUGACGCUGAGGAGCGAAAGCCAGGGGAGCAAACGGG